UGCAAAAAAUAAAGAAUGAUCUCUUGGCGGCGUAUUACGGAGAAAGUACUACGCUUAGUUCAAGGAGUGACCAAGCUUACUACAAACUUACUAAACGAAUUCUUAACAAGUACAAGCUAAAUUGGAUAAUUAUGUACGGAAGGAGAAAGAGAGAACGAGGUACCUCUGCUCGCUCGGCUGCCCUUAAUCUGCUUCCUUUUUGCUUGGUGCUGUGAGAUUGAACUCUGAACUUUAAACUGGAUACUCAGCUGGCUGACCUCCUAUGUGGUUUAUAAACCCUUUUACAGCACCGUUACAUCCACAGAACAGCACUAGGCUUAGCUUGACCGCCGGUGAAGAGAAGACCGUGAGUCCGUCAAACUCUCGUCAUUUACUUGCCGUCACUUUUCUGCUUUCAUCCCGUUCGUCUAUUAGCGCGCCACCGUCGUUGUUUGAUCUGGACAAGGUUGUUGCGACGUGUCAAACCUCGGAAUCCUAGAGUAUCUCUCAGCGAAACCGGACAGAUCAUUGAAUGGUCUAGCAGAUCAUUGAAUGGUCUAGCACCUGUGUCCUGCGGUGACGAAAUUCAGAUCAUUGAAUGGUCUAGCAGCGCUGGAUUUU
rnacentral:lncRNA from 7 species